UGCUGGCUCCUGGAAUAUGAAUAUGGAUCAGUCGUGGGUCACGUGGUACUGAAUCAUUCAAUGAAAUGUAAUUCCAUCCCCAGAUCCUCUCCCUCUCGUUGUAUUUGAAGGAGGUUCGAGAACACGUCCUGGAUUCGCCCUGUGACAUAUAGAAUCAAUCUCCCCAGUAUCCUGCAAAUUCUAAACAGGAUGUACGAAGACAGGAUUUCCCAGCUCCUCCCUUUGUAGCAGAGUGACAGUGAGUUCAGAAAGAGAUGUUUCCAAUCAACAGCAG